UCCAUUAGUGACAUGAUUUUUUAAAAAAAAACACACCAAGUAAGAUUAUUGGCUUGCGUACCAAAUCAUUCCUCUACCAAGAAAAACGGGAAAUAACUCAGAUAUAAAUAAUGCAAGUGGCUGCUGAAUUAGGAGGACAUUCAAAAAUUCCCUCAUAAAUUACAUAUUGGUGACCUAAUGUAAUUUAGUGUGGGUGAUAUUCGUAAGUAUUUCUUUUACUUGAAAGACUAUGGAUACUAGAGAAUAUAAAGGUCAAAUGAAAGCUAUUCAAAUAAUAGAAUUUUAUGGGAAAAAUAACUUCAUCAGAUACCAUAUUUCACUUGACACUGUUGGAGA